rnacentral:rRNA from 1 species
UACGUAGGUGGCAAGCGUUGUCCGGAUUUAUUGGGCGUAAAGCGAGCGCAGGCGGUUCUUUAAGUCUGAUGUGAAAGCCCACGGCUCAACCGUGGAAGGUCAUUGGAAACUGGGGAACUUGAAUGCAGAAGAGGAGAGUGGAAUUCCAUGUGUAGCGGUGAAAUGCGUAGAUAUAUGGAGGAACACCAGUGGCGAAGGCGACUCUCUGGUCUGUUAUUGACGCUGAGGCUCGAAAGCGUGGGGAGGCAAACAGGAUUAGAUA